AUGUUGUCCCAGAGGUCUCUUAGGCUGUCUUCAUUUCUUUUCAUUCUUUUUUCUUUAUUCUGUUCCAUGGCAGUGAAUUCUACCAUUCUGUCUUCCAGGUCACUUAUCCGUUCUUCUGCCUCAGUUAUUCUGCUAUUGAUUCCUUCUAGUGUAUUUUUCAUUUCAGUUAUUAUAUUGUUCAUCUCUGUUUGUUUGUUCUUUAAUUCUUCUAGGUGUUUGUCCUUUAAUUCUUCUAGGUCUUUGUUAAACAUUUCUUCCAUCUUCUUGAUCUUUGCCUCCAUUUUUUUCUGAGGUCCUGGAUCAUCUUCACUAUCAUUAUUCUGAAUUCUUUUUCUGGAAGUUUGCCUAUCUCCACUUCAUUUAGUUGUUUUUCUGGGGUUUUAUCUUGUUCCUUCAACUGGUACAUAGUCCUCUGCCUUUUCUUUUCUUUUUUUUUUUUUUUGUGGUACGCGGGCCUCUCACUGUUGUGGCCUCUCCCGUUGCGGAGCACAGGCUCCGGAAGCACAGGCUCAGCGGCCAUGGCUCGUGGGCCCAGCUGCUCUGUGGCAUGUGGGAUCUUCCCAGACCGGGGCACGAACCCGUGUCCCCUGCAUCGGCAGGCGGACUCUCAACCACUGCGCCACCAGGGAAGCCCUGUCUUUUCAUUUUGUCUCCCUUUCUGUGAUAUGGUUUUCCUUCCACAGGCUGCAGGAUUGUAGUUCUUCUUGCUUCUGCUGUCUGCCCUCUGGUGGUUGAAUCUAACUAAGAGACGUGUGCAAGCUUCCUGAUAGAACUGGGUGUUGCUCUGGUGGGCAGAGCUCAGUAAAACCUUAAUCUGCUUGUCUGCUGAUGGGUGGGACUGGGUUCCCUCCCUUUUGGUUGUUUGGCCUGAGGCGACCCAGCACUGGAGCUUGUAGGCUCUCUGGUGGGGCUAAUGGUGGACUCUGGGAGGGCUCACGCCAAGGAGGACAUCCCAGAACUUCUGCUGCCCGUGCCCUUGUCCCCGUGGUGAGGCACAGCCACCCUGGGCCUCUGCAGGAGACCCUCCAACACUAGCAGGUACUCUUUGCAUCCCAGUAGACAACUUGCCUCCAAGACCUACUUCUGGGAGAACCCAAACUAUGACAAUCACAGUUAAACAGCACAGAAUAGCCUGUGAUAAAAGCCAGGGAUCUCACUCCUCAAGGACAAUUUUAAUGUUUUUCUUCAGUUCUGGUUUUUAUUAAGGUGCCUUCGUAACUGGAGAUAAAAUGCUGAUGUCUCUGUGUUUUGAUUUAACCAUUUUAGGGAUAUUUAUAGACUCCCUCUUAGGAACGAUGAAUAUUUAAUCUUUUAUGAGUCCACCCACAAUGUUCAAUGCUUGACAUGCACAUUUUUAUAUUUGGUUUUGUUAUUGGCUACACUUAAUUUUAAAUCAUCUAUUUAAACCUCCGUUUCUCAAUAAAUCAACUUCAGACAGUAUAUAUUGACACCCGAGUUAAUAAGAUUAGGAUGGACCCACCACCUUCUCCAUCCCCCACUUCCAUUACCUGACUUUGGUCAACUAUACCCUUGUUCUUACUGUGUCAAGGUCAUUAACAUUUAUCUUCUGUCCUACAGUGUCCGCACAGCCUUCUACACCUUGUCCAUGAUUUGAUUCUGAAAGUCAAAAAACUACACUGUAUAGAAUUUUAUAUUCUAAAUGUUGAGGAAUUGUACCCACAAACACGUAUCCCAAUAAUGUACAUGUUGUGUAUGUUUUUCACCUCUUAGGAUUUACUAUCAAACGUUGUUUUUGUUUUGUUAACAGUUGUUAAAUACCCACCAUAUGCCAGGUGCCACCAGGUAAUAAAGAUACAGUGAUGCCCCAAAGACUCCCAGUCCUUGCCUCAAGAGAACAGAUAGAAAAGGUAUAACCAAGCAAAUAAAUGAUGACCAACGUGUAAGUGUUCCAAAGGAAAAGUACAGUGUGUUUGGUGAGCUUAAAUAGGGAAACCAGAUUUAGACAGGAGGGUUAGGAAAGACCUCGUGGAAGAAGCGAUAUUUACUCUGAGACACGAAGGUUGAGUAGGUAUUAGCGAUUAGCAUGAUGUGUGGGUGAGGGUGUUUGGGGAAAGAGGGAGGAGCAAAAUACAAAGUCCCCGAGACGGGUAAGAGCCUAACAUCACGAUGACAGUAAACUUUGGACUUUGGCUUUUAUUCUAAGCAUGAGUGGAAACCAUCCAAGGGAUAAGAUGGGAGUCAAAUGAUGCCAGGGAGCUGAGGAAGGGGAUUCAAGGACCAGCAAGGGUGAUUUCAUGACUAAUACCUGAGAUCACGUAGAUUAAGUUCUUAGCAGAGUGUCUGGUGUAUAGAAAGUGUUGAAGAAAUACCAGGCAUUAUUAUUUUUAAUGAUCGUUAACUGGAAGAUGAUUUAUACUCUCAGAGGUUCAAGUGCCUCCCUUGUAAAAUAAGGGUAAUAUCAACCCCAAAGUGUGAAUACAAGAGAGGAACCAUAUCAUAAACUAGGAAGCAUAAGUAAUUUUUGUUCACGGAUGAAUGUGGUCAGCGGAGUGGUCUUGUUUCUCUUUCACCUUGAGAAUAUUUUCACUGGUGUAGAAAUUGCUCUUGGCUCUCCGAAAGUAAACCAGAGUGUAUGUGCAGCUUAGCUGUGCAAGUGCCGCCGGCUUCCUUUGCUUUGACACAAGUGCUUUGCUUCCUGAACACUCCCCAGACCUUCUGCGUGGGAGUGGAGGUGUCUGCCAGGAAUCGCAAAGUGCGUGUUCAGCCCGGUGCACGUGCCUUGGCAUUUUCCCCGCCACCAUCGCCAAGGCAUCCAAACCUGAAGCUUAGUGGCACUGCAGGUUUAACGAUCCACUGACAGAAGCUUUUAGAAAUGUGUGGUUUCUCUUUGUGCCAACGGGCUGUUUUUCCUCUGGUCCCCAUUUUCUGCAGGUGGUCCAUUUAAUUGAACUUCCAGCCACUACCUUGUGCUUUGAUUUUUGCAAGGGAGAAUUUACUUGUCUUCCCCGUACAUUUCAAAUUCCAGAAUCCUGUACAUUUCCUGUGUUUUUCUCCUUCUCCCCUCAUCCCCGCUGCCUUCAAACUCCACUGCAAAAAGAUUAAAAAAAAAAAUCCUACAGAAUAAAAAAUUUCCAUGAAUCUGGACCGAAUCUGGCAUCAUAUGUACCUGAGCAGCUAGCUGACUCUGUGGCCGGAUGGUUUGCCUCAACACCUGAGAUUUUUUUUUCAGUGACCUUAUUUUAAUGGUCCGAUUUGGACAGAUCCUGAGUUCUUGCUGAAAGGGAUACGUGAGACACCUCAUUUCUCUAACUGGUGACACGAGUUUAUGAAGUCUGGGCUAAUCCAGUGAGGCGAAACUAAAGGAAUGAAUAGGAGUUUCCAGUUUGGACAAGCCCCAGCAGGGGUGAAGCCCAGGGCUCACACAUCCUCCCUGUGAUUAGGAGAGGAAGGCUUCCUGGAAGAGGUGACGCUUCAAAGCAGCGGCUAGAGGAUAAGAAGGCACGUAUCCGGGAGGACCUUCCAGGUUCAACAGGGGCCCUAAGGCAGGGCUGCAAUGAGCAGACCCAGGAGGCUUGUCGUAGGCUGUCCUGAGAAGAGCCGAAAAGAACAUUCCAGGUGAAGGAAUAUAGACAGCAUGUCAGGGCCCAGGGCCCGAUGCAGGACUCGGAAACAGGUGGGAAUCCACCCAGUGCACAGGUGUGCGUGCACCUGAGUGUGACGUUGGUGUGUGCACAGGUGCACAUCAGCGAUGUAAGCCUUAAGCUCCAUGCUGGUGUUUCCGAGACAACCAGGCAUCAGGCAGCCACACCAUUUCACAAUCCCUUCAGAGAGCUGAAGGGCACAGCAGUAGCGCUUUCUGGAGGUUUGGGGGAAGGAAAGCAGGAAUUAACAAGUAAGGCACUUUCUGGGCUGAGACGCCCUGUCCACCGAGGGGGGUCUCAGUUUCCCUGGGAAGCAGCGUGCUGUAGUGACUGAGUCAGACAGGCUGUGAGCUCAGGGAAAAAAAUCACUUAACAUGUCUGUGCCUCAUUUUUCUUAUCUGUGAAAUGAGAACUGUUGAGGUGCCUUCAGUCUGAAAGGGGGAGUAUUCUUAGCUCCUCUUCCAAGACCAGGAAAUGUGAACUCGUGAUCAUUCCAGAAAUGAUCAUCUAUUAUUAGUCAUCUAUUAGGUCGCCUAUUCGUUCAGGUCACAGAGUGACAAGCUCUCUCCCUCUGACCUAGAAUAACCCUCUCUUCUCUGCUGGUUGCCUGUAGACGCAAUGCCAUUUGAGGGGUCUCUCUGUUGAGCUUCUGAUGCCGAACAUGGGACCGAGGCGUCUAGUAAAGUCUGGGAUCCUAGUGUCUGUGGCCAGAGCAUCAGAGCAUCCCAAGAACUCAUAGGAGAGCCUGCAGGCUCCCAAAGUCAAGGAUGAGGUUUGCUUCUGGUGCUGGAAUUGGAGAGAGGGGAGGGACUGCAGAAAGGUGUGCUACGAGGUUUUCUGUCUUGUUUUGUUCUGUCUUUAGCUUGUGUUAAGUCAUGGUCAAAUACUUCAAGCUUUGAAGCAGGUUUGAGGUAUAAUGCACCUUAUAUUUGUAGGAGCCCACGGCUUCACAAGAAUAAUAAAAGUUCGAGUUCAAGUUCGGACAGCUCAGUGGUUCAUUGCUUUCUUUUAAUUAUUCUCGUAUCUCAAAGGGCUACUCAUCCUUGGAAGAGCUCUGACACUGAUAAGAUUCACAGAUAACUGACCCCAGGAGGGUAUCUGGAGGAUUCAAUGAAUUGUAGACAAAGAAGGCGCUCCUGGGAGGCGGGUCCUUUCUUCUGUGCAUCCCUGGGUUGGAGUCAACCCUCCCCUCCCGUGUGCCCUGACAGUGUGCUUCCCGAGUUUCUGGUCCAACACACAUCCUUCUGCUUCCUUCUUAGGUCAGCCCUACAGCUGGACUGUACACCCCUUGAGAACUGGGGUCACGUCUUAUUCAUUUUUAUAACCUUCACAACCAAAUGUAACUAAAACAUCAGGGAGGAAAAAGCCCCCAUAAUUAAAGCCUCUUCUAUCUUGAGCAGCCCUCCUAAUAACUUUUGGGGCUAUGACAACACAUUUGCUGCUUCUCUGGUUUUUGAAGCCUUGCUUCAUUUUCAGUCUUCCUUCCUACUUCUCAAAGUAAUAGGAAGUAUAGGGCUUCUUUCCAAAUUUAAGUUUAAAUGAACUUAGCUUUGACAAUGCUGUGAAAUCUUGGUGAUGGGGUCCAUGAGAGAUGAGCUGUGGUGUGUCAUCAGGACACCAGACAGGAGAGAGGAAAAGCCCAUUGUCUAUCUGCACGAGGAGGCAUCACCCUUUUUUACUAAUAAUGUAUGCCUGCUAUAUUCAGUAAUUAGUCAAAGUUCAUUUCUAAAAGAAAAUAGGAGAACAAUUUGUUAAGGGUAUGCAAUAAACCAAGCCAAGUUGGAAUAGCUAAUGAGGAUUAUGGGUUUGCACUAUUUUUUUUUCAGCUUUACUUUCUUUUUUUUCCUUUUUUAAAAAAAUUUCUUAUCGGAGUAUAGUUGCUUUACAAUAUUGUGUUAGUUUAUACUGUACAGCAAAGUGAAUCAGCUAUACGUAUACAUAUAUACCUUCUUUUUCAGAUUUCCUUCCCAUUUAGGUCACCACAGAGCACUGAGUAGAGUUCCCUGUGCUAUACAGUAGGUUCUCAUUAGUUAUCUAUUUUAUACAUAGUAUCAAUAGUGUAUACAUGUCAAUCCCAAUCUCCCAAUUCAUCCCAUCUCCCUUCCCCCUUGGUAUCCAUACGUCUGUUCUCUACAUCUGUGUCUCCAUUUCUGCUUUGUAAAUAAGGUUGUCUAUACCAAUUUUUUCAGAUUCCACAUGUAUGUGUUAAUAUAUGAUUUUUUUUCUCUUUCUGACUUUCACUCUGUAUGACAGUCUCUAGGUCCAUCCAUGUCUCUACAGAUCACCCAGUUUUGUUCCUCUUUAUGGCUGAGUAAUAUUCCAUUGUAUAUAUGAUAUAUGUACCACGUCUUCUUUAUCCAUUCCCCUGAUGAUGGACACUUAGGUUGCUUCCAUGUCCUGGCUAUUGUAAAUAGUGCUGCAAUGAACAGCGGGGUGCAUAUUGUCCUUUUGAUCACAGACAAGUUCAUCUUUUCAGCUGUGGCUGGUGUGAUAAUCAGAUGCUUUCUCUAGAACAGAGCUUCUCACAAUGUGGUCCCUGGACCAGUAGCAUCAAUAGCAAUUAAAAAAAAAAUUUUUUUAAA